rnacentral:rRNA from 1 species
GACGAACGCUGGCGGCGUGCUUAACACAUGCCAGUCGAACGGAAAGGCCCUGCUUUUGUGGGGUGCUCGAGUGGCGAACGGGUGCGUAACACGUGAGUAACCUGCCCUUGACUUUGGGAUAACUUCAGGAAACUGGGGCUAAUACCGGAUAGUAGCUCCUGCUGCAUGGUGGGGGUUGGAAAGUUUCGGCGGUUGGGGAUGGACUCGCGGCUUAUCAGCUUGUUGGUGGGGUAGUGGCUUACCAAGGCUUUGACGGGUAGCCGGCCUGAGAGGGUGACCGGCAACAUUGGGACUGAGAUACGGCCCAGAGUACUACGGGAGGCAGCAGUGGGGAAUAUUGCACAAUGGGCGGAAGCCUGAUGCAGCAACGCCGCGUGCGGGAUGACGGCCUUCGGGUUGUAAACCGCUUUCGCCUGUGACGAAGCGUGAGUGACGGUAAUGGGUAAAGAAGCACCGGCUAACUACGUG